GCAUGAAUGGUUACAUCUUUAAUCAUUGGUGAUAACACACUCCAGCCCCUCUGUUCCCAGCAAUCAGUGGGUCUGAUCAGGGGCUUCAACCCUCUAACCAUUCUCUGGUCUCUCCAGCAAUCAAAACCUAGGCUGAAGCUAUCUAGGGGACCCCAGUCACCAGUCAUCUCAUCAACAUACAAGUAACACAUCUCGGGGCAGGGUAUGGUGACACACACCUGUAAUCUCAACUCAGGAGGCUGAGGCAAAGAGGAUUGCAAAUUCAAAGCCAGCCUCAGCAAUUUAGCAAGGCCCUAAGAAACUUAAUGAGACCCUGUCUCAAAAAAUAAAAUGGACUGGGGAUGUGGCUCAGUGGUUAAGUGCCCCUCGGUUCAAUCCUCAGUAUAAAAAACAACAACCAAAAUAACCCACCACCACUCUGGAGAGUCCAAAGGUUUUAGGAGCUGUGUGCCAGGAACUAGGAACAAAGACUAAGUUGUGUUUUUUGUUUGUUUUUGUUUUUAUCGUAGUAUCAUACCUUCAAAAACUCUGAAAACUGCCUGCUCUUGAGGUAGCACGAUCAUAUUGUAUUUGUCUUGGCUGGUCCAUCUGUGAUUCUGUAGGACAGAACCUUCCAAAUCUGUUGAUGAGGGGCCCCUGUGAGAGAGUCUAGGUUGGGCAUGGAAAGGACCAGAGGCUCACACUGUCCCCACGGCACCCAAGAGCCACUGAGUCAUAAGGCUCAGGGUUUACCUCCCGAGACCUCUCUUCCUUCACUCCUGUCCUGUCGAGUGCAAAGCCUGGUAGCUUCUUCUGCUUCCUCCAUUCCUGGGCCUGGCCCUGAGAGCUGCAAGAGGAAAAUAUGCAGACAUUAUUAUUAUUGUUAAGAAUGAAGGCCACCUUCAUUCUUAACCCCUGCCCUUGGUCAAUCCUAUGUUCCGUGCCCCUCAACAUUCUGAGUUUCUCCUGCUUCCUAACCUCACAUGCCUCCCACAGCCUUGCCUCACCCCUUUUCAGUGGACGUCCCUCAAUAUUCUUUCCAAGGACCUCACCUAUCCAAAUGUGCUUCCUAUUUGGUUGGUCUGACCCAGCUAGCCUGUCCUGCUGACUUUGAGGCACAGGACCUCCCUCUUUAGUGCCUCCAGGCUCCUCCUCACCCCUGGACACUUACCCUAUGUCUGAAUAAGCAUAAACCUUUGGUUUUUAAGGGACAAAAGCAAAUUCUUAAAAAUUAUGGCAAAUGCCUAUAAUCCCAGCUGCUUGGGAGGCUGAGGCAGGAGAAUAACAAGUUCAAAGGUAUCCUAUACAAUUUAGACCAUCUCAAAAUAAAAUGAAAAGAGUUGUAAAUGUACAAAAUACAAUAGUGCUUGCCUAGCAGUUGUGAGGACCUGGGUUCGAUCCCCAGCAUCACACAGACACACACAUACACACAUAAAAAAAAUCUUUGUUGUCUUUGCUUAAUCUUUGUCAAGAGCUGUGCCCUUAACAUAGACCACAUGUGUUUGUAUCUUUCCACAAUGUCACAAUUUAUUGAAU
rnacentral:lncRNA from 1 species